AUGGCAAUCAAGCGCGGUUUCUGCGACGAGGAUGAGGAGGAAGUGGCGCAGAUGUCAGGCCCAGUGGACUUAAAGGAGGUCACUCACGCAGACAAGAUCACAAAGGAAACUUUGGCUAAGGUUAUGGUGCAGAGGAAGGUGUCUGCCCUGACAGCUGCCCCGCGGACCGCGACAGCCCCCACCCCUGCCCUGGAGAACACCACAGGCCCGACCCCUACCUCGGAGACUGCCCCGACCCUCGCCCUGGCCUGGGCCAUCUACUAA
rnacentral:rRNA from 1 species